rnacentral:rRNA from 1 species
AUUGAACGCUGGCGGCAUGCUUUACACAUGCAAGUCGAACGAGUGGCGAACGGGUGAGUAAUAUAUCGGAACGUGCCGAGUAAUGGGGGAUAACUAAUCGAAAAUUUAGCUAAUACCGCAUAUUAUUCGAGCGGCCGAUAUCUGCUUCGCUUGUAGGUGGGGUAAAGGCUAACCUAGGCGACGAUCAGUAGCUGGUCUGAGAGGAUGACAUGCAGCACGGUAACUGAGACACGGUCCAGACUCCGACGGGAGGCAGCAGUGGGGAAUAUUGCACAAAGGGCGCAAGCCUGAUCCAGCCAUGCCGCGUGUCUGAAGAAGGCCUUCGGGUGGUAAAGGACUUUUAUCAGGGAGGCGUUACCAGAAGAAUAAGCAACGGCUAACUACGUGCCAGCAGCCGCGGUAAUUC